UGCAAGUCGAACGCGAAAGUGGAGCAAUCCAUGAGUAGAGUGGCAAACGGGUGAGUAACGCGUGGGUGACCUGCCUUCGAGUGGGGGAUAACGUUCCGAAAGGGACGCUAAUACCGCAUGACAUUCUGCCUUUGAAGAGGCGGCAAUCAAAGCUGGGGAUCGCAAGACCUAGCACUCGAAGAGGGGCCCGCGUCCGAUUAGCUAGUUGGUGAGGUAACGGCUCACCAAGGCGACGAUCGGUAGCCGGCCUGAGAGGGCGGACGGCCACACUGAGACUGAGACACGGCCCAGACUCCUACGGGAGGCAGCAGUGGGGAAUUGUUCGCAAUGGGCGCAAGCCUGACGACGCAACGCCGCGUGGAGGAUGAAGAUCUUCGGGUCGUAAACUCCUUUCGAUCGAGACGAAUUCCUCGGUGAUGAACAAUCAUCGAGGUUGACGGUACCGAGAGAAGAAGCCCCGGCUAACUCCGUGCCAGCAGCCGCGGUAAUACGGGGGGGGCAAGCGUUGUUCGGAAUUACUGGGCGUAAAGGGCUCGUAGGCGGCCAACUAAGUCAGACGUGAAAUCCCUCGGCUUAACCGGGGAACUGCGUCUGAUACUGGAUGGCUUGAGUUUGGGAGAGGGAUGCGGA
rnacentral:rRNA from 1 species